rnacentral:rRNA from 1 species
CACGCCGUAAACGAUGAAUACUAGGUGUUGGGGAGCAAAGCUCUUCGGUGCCGCCGCAAACGCAUUAAGUAUUCCACCUGGGGAGUACGUUCGCAAGAAUGAAACUCAAAGGAAUUGACG